CACCACCCGUCGCUCCUAUCAACUGAAUGGUCCAGUAAAGUGUUUGAAUUGCAGUGAUGUGGGCGGUCUACUGCCCGCGGCGUCAUGAGAAGUCCACUAUACCUUAUCAAUUAGAGGAAGGAAAAGUCAUAACAAGGUUUUUUUAGGUAAACUAGUAGAAG
rnacentral:rRNA from 1 species